rnacentral:rRNA from 1 species
UUUGACGUUAGCGACAGAAGAAAGCACCGGCUAACUCCGUGCCAGCAGCCGCGGUAAUACGGAGGGUGCGAGCGUUAAUCGGAAUUACUGGGCGUAAAGCGCAUGCAGGUGGUUUGUUAAGUCAGAUGUGAAAGACCCGGGGCGUCAACCUCGGAAUAGCAUUUGUAAACUAGGCAGACUAGAGUACUGUAGAGGGGGGUAGGAAUUUCAGGUGUAGCGGUGAAAUAGCGUAGAGAUCUGAAGGAAUACCGGUGGCGAAGGCGGCCCCCUCGGACAGAUACUGACACUCAGAUGCGAAAGCGUGGGGAGCAAACAGGAUUAGAUACCCUGGUAG